rnacentral:rRNA from 1 species
AUUGAACGCUGGCGGCAGGCUUAACACAUGCAAGUCGAGCGGAGAUGAGGUGCUUGCACCUUAUCUUAGCGGCGGACGGGUGAGUAAUGCUUAGGAAUCUGCCUAUUAGUGGGGGACAACAUUCCGAAAGGAAUGCUAAUACCGCAUACGCCCUACGGGGGAAAGCAGGGGAUCUUCGGACCUUGCGCUAAUAGAUGAGCCUAAGUCGGAUUAGCUAGUUGGUGGGGUAAAGGCCUACCAAGGCUACGAUCUGUGGCGGGUCUGAGAGGAUGAUCCGCCACACUGGGACUGAGACACGGCCCAGACUCCUACGGGAGGCAGCAGUGGGGAAUAUUGGACAAUGGGCGGAAGCCUGAUCCAGCCAUGCCGCGUGUGUGAAGAAGGCCUUUUGGUUGUAAAGCACUUUAAGCGAGGAGGAGGCUACCUGGAUUAAUACUCUAGGAUAGUGGACGUUACUCGCAGAAUAAGCACCGGCUAACUCUGUGCCAGCCGCCGCAGUAAGAC